UUGGUGUUUACUUUAGUGGCGGACGGGUGAGUAACACGUGAGAAUUUACCUUUAGGAGGGGAAUAACAGUUGGAAACGACUGCUAAUGCCGCAUAUCAUAUACAUAUGAAAGAAGAAAUUCGCCUAAAGAAAAGCUUGCGUCUGAUUAGCCAGUUGGUAAGGGUAAUGGCCUACCAAGGCGACGAUCAGUAGCUGGUUUGAGAGGAUGAUCAGUCACACUGGAACUGAGACACGGUCCAGACUCCUACGGGAGGCAGCAGUGGGGAAUUUUCUGCAAUGGGCGAAGCCUGACAGAGCAAUACCGCGUGAGGGAAGAAAGCCCACAGGGUUGUAAACCUCUUUUGUCAAGGAAGAAGUUCUGACGUUACUUGACGAAUAAGCAUCGGCUAACUCCGUGCCAGCAGCCGCGGUAAGACGGAGGAUGCAAGUGUUAUCCGGAAUCACUGGGCGUAAAGCGUUUGUAGGUGGUUUAGUAAGUCUAUUACUAAAGCUUGAAGCUUAACUUCAAAAGUGUAAUAGAAACUACUAGACUAGAGGAUAGUAGGGGUAAAGGGAAUUUCCAGUGGAGCGGUGAAAUGCGUAGAGAUUGGAAGGACCACCGAUGGCGAAGGCACUUUACUGGGCUAUUUCUGACACUAAGAGACGAAAGC
rnacentral:rRNA from 1 species